GGAGAGGUGCCGGAGUGGUCGAACGGGCUGGUCUCGAAAACCAGUGUGGCUGUACGGUCACCGUGGGUUCGAAUCCCACCCUCUCCGCCA
rnacentral:tRNA from 2 species